GAGAAGGCGAGCGCGAGGGCUGGGGAGCGGAAGUGGAAGCCAUUGUCAGAAUAUGUAAAACCUAGGGUUUCUAGCACGCUCAAUCAGAGCACCAACAAAUUUCAAAACUACUUACACUAAACACAAAAUAUCGGGAGAAGAGGAUACGCGAGUUACAUAGGUCAAGAAAAGAUUGAUAGUAAAAACUGGAGCGGAGGGGUCGCGGGAAAAUACGCCGGAACAGGGAGAGAAUCGCCGGAAAUCGCAGAUGAAGAAAUUAGGGAAAAAGUGGAGAAGAUGAAUAGUGGGAAGCAAAAUUUCGAAACUGACUAAGUAAUGUACGCGGGCAACUACCACCAUACGGGAUGAAUGACGCGUGGCAUACGGGAAUUAAUCAAUGGCUAAGAAUUUCUACGGAGAGACGAAAAGACGCAAAGGUUAAAAAGUAACCCGGGAUACGGAAAAAGCACUGUAGAAAGGGCGGGCAUUUAAUGCUAGUGACGUCAUCCACGCGGGCGAAUCCUCUGACUAGUCGCACCGUGCCAGAGUGAACUAGUCAGACCAGGGGGGAGUAGCAAAAACGC
rnacentral:lncRNA from 1 species